AUUGAACGCUGGCGGCAGGCCUAACACAUGCAAGUCGAGCGGAGCGGCGGACGGGCGAGUAAUGCCUAGGAAUCUGCCUGGCCGUGGGGGAUAACGUCCGGAAACGGGCGCUAAUACCGCAUACUCUCAGAUGAGCCUAGGUCGGAUGAGCUAGUUGGUGGCGUAAAGGCCUACCAAGGCGACGAUCCGUAACGGGUCUGAGAGGAUGAUCAGUCGCACUGGAACUGAAACACGGUCCAGACUGCGACGGGAGGCAGCAGUGGGGAAUAUUGGAAAAUGGGCGAAAGCCUGAUCCAGCCGUGCCGCGUGUGUGAAGAAGGUCUUCGGAUUGUAAAGCACUUUAAGUUGGGAGGCGUUACCAACAGAAGAAGCACCGGCUAACUACGUGCCAGCCGCCGCGGUAAUAC
rnacentral:rRNA from 1 species